rnacentral:rRNA from 1 species
AGAAUCAACGCUGGCGGCGUGCCUAACACAUGCAAGUCGAACGAGAAAGUGGAGCAAUCCAUGAGUAAAGUGGCGCACGGGUGAGUAACACGUGACUAACCUACCCUUGAGUGGGGGAUAACCUAGAGAAAUCUGGGCUAAUACCGCAUAAUACCUUCUGGUCAAAGGAGCAAUUCGCUUAAGGAGGGGGUCGCGGCCGAUUAGUUAGUUGGCGGGGUAAUGGCCCACCAAGACUAUGAUCGGUAUCCGGCCUGAGAGGGCGCACGGACACACUGGAACUGAAACACGGUCCAGACUCCUACGGGAGGCAGCAGUGGGAAUUUUGCGCAAUGGGGGAAACCCUGACGCAGCAACGCCGCGUGGAGGAUGAAGUCCCUUGGGACGUAAACUCCUUUCGAUCGGGACGAUUAUGACGGUACCGGAAGAAGAAGCCCCGGCUAACUUCGUGCCAGCAGCCGC